ensembl:misc_RNA
CCCAUUGGACUUCCCCUAGGCUCUGUGCUAGUCUUCUCUGUGAGCUCACUCUACCCCUCCUCUUCCUCCCCCUAACUUACUGAGGUUGUCCCUUCACUUAAACCUGUCGUCUGGU